AAAUGAAUUGACGGGCACCCGCACAAGCGGUGGAGCAUGCUGUUUAAUUCGAAGAUACGCGAAGAACCUUACCUAGACUUGACAUCCCGAGCAAAGCUAUAGAAAUAUAGUGGAGGUUACCUCGGUGACAGGUGGUGCAUGGUUGUCGUCAGCUCGUGUCGUGAGAUGUUCGGUUAAGUCCGAUAACGAGCGCAACCCUCGUCUUUAGUUACUAACGAUUCGGUCGAGGACUCUAAAGAUACUGCCGGUAAUAAACCGGAGGAAGGUGGGGAUGACGUCAAAUCAUCAUGCCCCUUACGUCUAGGGCUACAGGCGUGCUACAAUGGCUGAUACAAAGAGACGCAAUACCGUGAGGUGGAGCAAAUCUCCAAAGUCAGUCUCAGUUCGGAUUGAAGUCUGCAACUCGACUUCAUGAAGCUGGAAUCGCUAGUAAUCCUGAAUCAGAAUGUCAGGGUGAAUACGUUCCCGGGUGUUGUACACACCGCCCGU
rnacentral:rRNA from 1 species